rnacentral:SRP_RNA from 1 species
GCCAUUGCAGGCAUGGUGGCGCGUGCCUGUAGUCCCAGCUACUCUAGAGGCUGAGGAGGGAGGAUCACUUGAGCCCAGGAGAUCUGGGCUGUAGUGCGCUAUGCCGAUCGGGUGUCCGCACUAAGUUUGGUGUCAAUAUGGUGACCUCCCAGAAGCGGGGGACCACCAGGUUGCCUAAGGAGGGGUGAACCAGCCCAGGUUGGAAACGGAGCAGGUCAAAACUCCCGUUCUGAUCAGUAGCGGGAUCGCGCCUGUGAAUAGCCACUGCACUCCAGCCUGGGCAACAUAGCAAGACCUCGUCCCU